UCUGUUAAAAUAAAAGCCAUUUAAGGCCCUUGUCCUCUAAUCUUAAUAAAAAACUCUUUACAAGAACAACUCCUAAAAACACAAAUGAAAAACCCUAGAAAUCCUAAAAAGUGGAACAUAACAACCAAACAAAAAAAUCGAUUAGUAAAGAAGCCAUUAGCCUCAUUCUUUCCUCCUUUCGUCUCUUCAUCAGCAUUUGAAAAAGGAGUGGAUCUACCUCAUUUCUGGUGAAGUUAUUUCUUGAAUUCUGGCUCUGAUUCUUCCCUUCUGCAACUCUGAGUUUUAAUCGCACUUCGUUAUUAUAUCCUCAUCAUUUUACUCAGAAAAAUUUAACACUUCUUCUCUACCCAUACUCCCUCUAUGCAAAUCUACUAUUCUUGUUACUUUUUCUGGUGCUUCUUCAAUCCAGAACAUUGGGGAGUCGAAAUGUUUUCUUGCUUCAGCCAUUUUGUGUGCUGCUUGAUUUUUUGUUCGAGAAUUAUCAUUGGGAAUUGUAUCUGCUACUUCGAGCCAUCUGUGUCUGCUCUUGACCGUAUAGAUGCCAGAAUUACCGCCCCUCCAUACCAAGUGGUCCUCUCGAGCAUUGUUUGAAAGAGGCUCAAUUAACCAAUUUUCGUUCUAUAUAUUAAUGCUGGCACCAUUACCCACUCGUCAACCACAACCUUGUUCCAACAACCUUCUAGAUAUCUAUAUACUGCGCCAAGUAUAUGAUGGGUAAGAUCCUAUACUUGCAUUCAUAAAGUCUGUGUUCGAGUAGUAUUUUACUUUUAUAACUUUUACGAAUAAACAAUCUGGUUUUAACAAUAGUCUCAAUCCUUGUUUCGCAAACAACACUAUAUUAAAUUUGGACAAGUCUUUAAAUCCUAAUCCCCUCUCUCUUUCGAUCAACAAACCUUUCUCCAUUGACACUAAUGUAUACCCUUCUUUGUAUGUGCAUUACACCACCAAAAUUUCACAAUCAUGUUAUUUAACUCACGGCAUAAAGAACUUGAUAAUAAGAAACAUUGUAUUGCAAAAAUAGGAAUUACUUGUAAAAUUACUUUUAUGAAUACCUCCUUCCCCUCAUUAAUAAUUGCCUCGUACUCUAUUUCUCUAUUCUCUUGAUGAAUCUCUCUUUUAGAUUUGUGAAUGCAACUUUCUUUUUACUGCCCAUUAUUGUUGGAAGCCCAACGUACUUUUCUGGGUUAUUAGAAAUGCGGACCCCUAAAAUUUCUCCUAUUUGUUCCUUCUGUUCGUUAGACACAUUAAUACUAAAGUAGAUAAGUGACUUGUCAAAAUUAACCAAUUGACCCUAGACCCUUUCAUAUUCUUUUAUUAUAGCAUUCAUUUUACUUGCCCGAUCAAUUGUAACAUCUCCAAAAAGAAUACUAUCGUCAGCAAAAAAUAAAUGUGUUAGCCCAUAUUUACUCCUACCAACCCUUUCCCCUUUUAUCAAACCCUUUCUCUUAGCUUCUCUAAGUAGACUUGAAAAGCCUUCAGCACAUAAUAAAAAUAGAUAUGGACUUAGCGGGUCCCCUUGUCGUAGCUUUCUUGAUGGCUUGAAAGCUUCACCUUGUUCACCAUUAAAGAUAAUCGAAUAAGUCACCGUAGUCAUACAUGUUAUUAUUAACUCAAUUCAUUCACUACAAAAACCCAUUUUAAUCAUUACUUUUUGUAGAAAGUAGCACUACACCCUAUCAUAAGCUUUACUCAUAUCGAGUUUAAGAGCAAAAGAGCCUUGGUGUCUAUAUUUCCUUCUUUUAAAUUAGUGUAAAACCUCAUAAGCGACAAGAAUAUUAUAUGUUAUUUGUCUUCCAGGUACAAAUAUGCCUUGAGCUUCACCAAUAGACUUGUCUAAAACUGUUCUAAACUUGUUAACAAUGACCUUUGAUAGGAUUUUAUAAAGCAUAUUGUAAAGGCUUAUUGGUCUGAAUUGAGUCAUACUUGUAGGAGAAUUAAUUUUUUGAAUUAGCACUAUAUUUGUAUGGUUAAUCUUUUCCAAUCCUUGUCUCCUAUUAAUAACUUGAAUGCAAUAUGUCAUAAUCUCCUUUCUCACAAUACUCCAAUAUUUUUGAUAAAACAAGGCUGGGAAUCCAUCAUCUCCAGAAGCUUUCAUUGGUGACAUACUUUUAAUAUCCUCCUCAAUCUCUUCUUCAUUAAAAUCCUUUGUCAACUCCACACUAUUAGAGUCAUUAAUGCACGGUUGAAUUGUAACACCCUAAACCUGUACCCCUCGCCGAAGUAGGGUUACGGGGUAUUACUGAUCAAACAUACAUAAUUUCAAGCAUUUCAUGUUAUAUAAUAUUCAAGUAAAAACCAAUCAAACUCAUACAUUUUGACCCUUAUUUGAACCCUCGGGGCCCAAAAUAAACAUUAAAACUAAGUCGAGACUAAAGUACUCAAGGAAUUUUUCAGAAAACAUAAAAAAUUUUCAAAGGUGUAGAGGACACACGCCCGUGUGGUAGGGUUGUAUGUCUCACAUGGCCAAGAGACAUGCCCAUGUCUUAGGUCAUGUGGAAAUUCAAAAUAAGGAAACACGCUCUGUCCUAGCCUGUGUCCAAACUAGUGAGCUUACUGACUUGGGUCACACGGCCAAGCCACACCCCCAUGUGCUAGGCCGUGUGAACAAUGUUGAGUAUACUGACUUGUGACACACGGCCAAGCCACAUGCCCGUGUGCUAGGCUAUGUGAAAAAUGGUGGGUAUACUGACUUGGGACACACAACCAAGCCACACGCCCAUAGGCUAGGUCGUGUGAGCCUACUGACUUGUAAUCUUUAAAAUUACAAGGGACACACGGCCAUGUCACCUGGCCGUGUGUCACACACUUCUAAGACACAUGCUCAUGUCUUUACCCGUGUAGACAAAAAUAGCUAUUUUUCAAGCCAUAUUUCUCACCCAAAUUGGUACCAAUCUAGACACAACCAUUUGCAUAUGACCAUGACAUAAUUAGGCAUUCAAAACCAACCAAAAUCAAGCUUAAAACAUGUAAUAUCAUCACCUACAACCAUUGGCUUUACUAAAUGCACAACCUACAUGUAUUAUCCCUAUUCAAUUCACAACGCAUGUGAUAUAAGAAUUAGCUCUACUUCACCUACCAAAUAAACAACAUAGAUAAAUCACCAAAAUGACCAAAUCAUUUAAGCAUACAUUACUUUCAAUAUUGCAUAAAACUUUAAACAUGUAUUUACAAUUAUUUACACUUACAAAAUCAUAUUCCCUAGAACUCACUAAACAAAAGGGACGUUAUGUAAUAGCCCGAUUUUGAGUCUAAUCGGAACAGUGGUUUCGGGACCACAAAUCCGACGAGAAAAAAUAAAAUGGCCUGAAUUUUUAGGGGUGUCGAAAUGAUGAUUCGAGAUCACUAAAUCCGACAAAUGAGUAGAAAAUAUUAUUAAUUUAGUGACUAUAAGUUAAAUGUGAAGUUAAGAAAGUUUUUGAAAUAGUGAAUAGUGCACUAGAAAUAAAUAUUAAAAUAAUUAGAAAAAAAGAGGUAUCGAGACCUCAGAGAUUUUAAACUGAGCCAUAAAUAUUUUUAUAAAUAUUUAUGGAGUGUUAAAAAGUUAGUAUUAAAGUUUCGUUAAGAAAUUUUAAAGUUCCGAUUAUUAAUUGAACAAAAAGGACUAAAUUGUAACAAAUGUAAAAUUAUGGGAAAUUAUUAAAUAGCUUAAAUGAUAAAAGGAAGAGGGCUUAAAAGGCAAAUAGACCCAAUGUCUAUUUGGGCCGGACGGCAAAGGCAUGAAAUCAGCAAGAAAGUAAGAAGAAUUAAGGGCAAAAUUGAAAUAUUGCAAAAUUACUUAAUACAGCUAGGAUCCAAGUGGAAUUAUCUAGAUUUCUCUUUAUUUUUCUGCAUUCUCAUCAGCAAAAACACCAUAGAAGGGUUUCCUUAAGCUGGUUUUUCAUAUUUUUAUUGCAAGUAAGUUCAAUUCUUGAUUAUUUCUUGAAAUUUUUGUGUUUUUGUGACUUUUACAACUAGGCCCACUUGUUGAAUUCAUUAGUUUUUGAUUCUAUGAAAGAAGUUGAAAGUUGCUAUGAAUAUGUUCUGGAAGUAUAUGAUGAUUUAGCAUGGAAUUAGAGCUUUAAAUUGUUU